rnacentral:rRNA from 1 species
CGAUGAACCUCACUUCGGGAGGGGAUUAGUGGCGAACGGGUGAGUAACACGUGGGCAAUCUGCCCUGCACUCUGGGACAAGCCCUGGAAACGGGGUCUAAUACCGGAUACGACACUCUCGGGCAUCCGAUGAGUGUGGAAAGCUCCGGCGGUGCAGGAUGAGCCCGCGGCCUAUCAGCUUGUUGGUGAGGUAAUGGCUCACCAAGGCGACGACGGGUAGCCGGCCUGAGAGGGCGACCGGCCACACUGGGACUGAGACACGGCCCAGACUCCUACGGGAGGCAGCAGUGGGGAAUAUUGCACAAUGGGCGAAAGCCUGAUGCAGCGACGCCGCGUGAGGGAUGACGGCCUUCGGGUUGUAAACCUCUUUCAGCAGGGAAGAAGCGAAAGUGACGGUACCUGCAGAAGAAGCGCCGGCUAACUACGUGCCAGCAGCCGCGGUAAUACGUAGGGCGCAAGCGUUGUCCGGAAUUAUUGGGCGUAAAGAGCUCGUAGGCGGCUUGUCGCGUCGGUUGUGAAAGCCCGGGGCUUAACCCCGGGUCUGCAGUCGAUACGGGCAGGCUAGAGUUCGGUAGGGGAGAUCGGAAUUCCUGGUGUAGCGGUGAAAUGCGCAGAUAUCAGGAGGAACACCGGUGGCGAAGGCGGAUCUCUGGGCCGAUACUGACGCUGAGGAGCGAAAGCGUGGGGAGCGAACAGGAUUAGAUACCCUGGUAGUCCACGCCGUAAACGGUGGGCACUAGGUGUGGGCGACAUUCCACGUCGUCCGUGCCGCAGCUAACGCAUUAAGUGCCCCGCCUGGGGAGUACG